rnacentral:rRNA from 1 species
AUUGAACGCUGGCGGCAGGCCUAACACAUGCAAGUCGAGCGGAUGAAGGGAGCUUGCUCCUGGAUUCAGCGGCGGACGGGUGAGUAAUGCCUAGGAAUCUGCCUGGUAGUGGGGGAUAACGUCCGGAAACGGGCGCUAAUACCGCAUACGUCCUGAGGGAGCAAGUGGGGGAUCUUCGGACCUCACGCUAUCAGAUGAGCCUAGGUCGGAUUAGCUAGUUGGUGGGGUAAGGGGCUACCAAGGCGACGAUCCGUAACUGGUCUGAGAGGAUGAUCAGUCACACUGGAACGGAGACACGGUCAAGACUCCUACGGGAGGCAGCAGUGGGGAAUAUUGGACAAUGGGCGAAAGCCUGAUCCAGCCAUGCCGCGUGUGUGAAGAAGGUCUUCGGAUUGUAAAGCACUUUAAGUUGGGAGGAAGGGCAGUAAGUUAAUACCUUGCUGUUGUGACGUUACCAACAGAAUAAGCACCGGCUAACUUCGUG